rnacentral:rRNA from 1 species
UUCCACAGCCAAACCACCUGAACACGCCCAAUCUCGUCUGAUCUUGGAAGCUAAGCAGGGUCGGGCCUGGUUACUACUUGGAUGGGAGACCACUUGAGAAUACAGGUGCUGGGGAAA